CUCUUUUCAGUGUCCAAAUUAGCAGAGUGGCUUGACUUAAGGGAGACAUUUUGGGAUGAGUUACAGAGACCCAGUUCUGAAGGAUAUGGUGGAAUGACAGAUGACCACAGAGAAUUACACCUCAUCCUCAGAGAGAGUGAACAUAUAACAGAAAAGCUCUCUCAGACAGUUUCUGACCUGACCACCCUCAUGUACCUGAAAGAAGCAGAGCUUCAAUACUGCCACUCACAAGUCUCCCGCUAUCAGAAGGAAGCUGUCACUCAAGCUCGGGGGGCCAACAUUCUGCAGGCCAGCCUAUCAGAGCGUUAGUUUGAAUUGGAGACCCAAUCAAAGGAGUUGGCAGUCCUGCGGUUGGAGCAGCGGGAGUUGAGGGGCUUGCAGCCUGGAGAGAGAAAGAGGGGCACAGGAGAGAUGGCGUCGUUUCACCCAUCUGCUCAACAAGCACCUCCGUAGAACGAUGCUGCGACCAGGUGAGCAGACCAACUCCUGGAUGACUGGUAGGCCUUCAACAGAACCAGUAACUGCCAUACAGAGUAAGACUUCCAAUAGCCUUAAAUUAUCCUCAUUGGGGGGUUGCUAUUGUAGUUCUGAUUGCAUACUCUAAUCACAGUGACGUGUAGUGAUACGUAUGCAUAACUGCCCACUGUCCAUUCUCCUGUCUUUUCUCUGUAAGGAGACAAACAGACACAGAACACACAGCAGUGUCAGGCACUCGCUUGCGUCCCAACUAAUAUGCGUUCUCUAAUUCUCUCCUUCUCUUUCUUUCUCUGUCUCGGAGGACCUGAGCCCUAGGACCGUGCCCCAGGACUACCUGACAUGAUGACUCCUUGCUGUCCCCAGUCCACCUGACUGUGCUGCUGCUCCAGUUUCAACUGUUCUGCCUUAUUAUUAUUCGACCAUGCUGGUCAUUUAUGAACAUUUGAACAUCUUGGCCAUGUUCUGUUAUAAUCUCCACCCGGCACAGCCAGAAGAGGACUGGCCACCCCACAUAGCCUGGUUCCUCUCUAGGUUUCUUCCUAGGUUUUGGCCUUUCUAGGGAGUUUUUCCUAGCCACCGUGCUUCUACACCUGCAUUGCUUGCUGUUUGGGGUUUUAGGCUGGGUUUCUGUACAGCACUUUGAGAUAUCAGCUGAUGUACGAAGGGCUAUAUGAAUACAUUUGAUUUGAUUUAGAUUUGAUUUAAUAUCAAGCUCUGCUUUGCCCAGAGGAGGAUGGUGCACACUGCCCAGGGUGGACCUUGACACAUUUUCCCAAAACUUCCUGUACUAAAACAGACCUUGAAUGUGGCUCAAAUGUUUUUUUUUACAUGUUUAUCUAUUGAAAGAUAUUGAUUUGAAUCAAUGUAUCUAUAGGUAAAGCUAAUUAUAAACCACUGUAAUACUGUUGUGAAUUUCAGAUACUGUAUGUACAGGCUUAUUUAAGUGAGUACCUAAGACCUAACUCAAUGUUUUAUUUAAAAUACUACGAGCAAUAAAGUAAAACUU